AUUUUCCGCAAUGGGCGAAAGCCUGACGGAGCAACGCCGCGUGGGUGAUGAAGUUUUUCGGAACGUAAAGCCCUUUCAGCAGGGACGAAGCGAGUGACGGUACCUGCAGAAGAAGCAUCGGCUAACUACGUGCCAGCAGCCGCGGUAAUACGUAGGAUGCGAGCGUUGUCCGGAAUUAUUGGGCGUAAAGAGAACGUAGGUGGUUUCUUAAGUUCGGUCUUAAAGACCGGGGCUCAACCCCGGGAAUGGACUGAAAACUGGGAGACUAGAGGAUGUUAGAGGACGGUGGAAUUCCAAGUGUAGCGGUGAAAUGCGUAGAUAUUUGGAGGAACACCAGUGGCGAAAGCGGCCGUCUGGGACAUUCCUGACACUGAGGUUCGAAAGCUCGGGGAGCAAACAGG
rnacentral:rRNA from 1 species